UUAUUAUCGAUGGCGUGACGGAGAAGGAUAGAGUGUGCUAGCUAUUGGAUGCUAGUCUAAGCGUUUAGGGAGUCAGGAUAGGCAAAUCCGUUCUGACAAUUCUGAGGCGUAAUGGGGAAGGUUCCAAGGAACCGAAGUACUUGAUUCCAUGCUUCCAAGAAAAGCGUCUAGAAAGAGAAGUAGUGCCCGUACCGUAAACCGACACAGGUAGGUGAGGAGAGAAUCCUAAGGCCGGCGGAAGAAUCACAGUUAAGGAACUAGGCAAAUUGACCCCGUAACUUCGGGAUAAGGGGUGCCUGCGCGAGCAGGUCGCAGAGAAUAGGCCCAAGCAACUGUUUAGCAAAACACAGGUCUCUGCUAAAGCGAAAGCUGAUGUAUAGGGGCUGACGCCUGCCCGGUGCUGGAAGGUUAAGGGGAACACUUAGCGCAAGCGAAGGUGUGAACUUAAGCCCCAGUAAACGGCGGCCGUAACAAUAACGGUCCUAAGGUAGCGAAAUUCCUUGUCAGGUAAGUUCUGACCCGCACGAAUGGCGUAAUGAUUUGGGCACUGUCUCAACUGUGAAUCCGGCGAAGUUGUAGUGCGAGUGAAGAUGCUCGCUACCCGCGAUUGGACGGAAAGACCCCGUAGAGCUUUACUGUAGCUUAGCAUUGAAUUUCGGUAUUGUCUGUACAGGAUAGGUGGGAGACUAGGAAACCAGAGCGUCAGCUUUGGCGGAGUCACCCUUGGGAUACCACCCUGAUAGUACUGAGGUUCUAACUGGAUGCCAUGAAUCUGGUGACAGGACAUUGUUAGGUGGGCAGUUUGACUGGGGCGGUCGCCUCCGAAAAUGUAACGGAGGCGCCCAAAGGUUCCCUCAGAACGGUCGGAAAUCGUUCGAAGAGUGCAAAGGCAGAAGGGAGCCUGACUGCGACACCCACAAGUGGAGCAGGGACGAAAGUCGGGCUUAGUGAUCCGGUGGUACCUCGUGGGAGGGCCAUCGCUCAACGGAUAAAAGCUACCUCGGGGAUAACAGGCUGAUCUCCCCCAAGAGUCCACAUCGACGGGGAGGUUUGGCACCUCGAUGUCGGCUCGUCGCAUCCUGGGGCUGAAGUAGGUCCCAAGGGUUGGGCUGUUCGCCCAUUAAAGCGGCACGCGAGCUGGGUUCAGAACGUCGUGAGACAGUUCGGUCCCUAUCCGUCGCGGGCGUAGGAAAUUUGAGAGGAGCUGUCCUUAGUACGAGAGGACCGGGAUGGACUGACCUCUGGUGCACCAGUUGUUCCGCCAGGAGCGCAGCUGGGUAGCUAAGUCGGGAAGGGAUAAACGCUGAAAGCAUCUAAGCGUGAAGCCCACCUCAAGAUAAGAUUUCCCAUAGCAUAAGCUAGUAAGACCCCUUGAAGAACACAAGGUUGAUAGGUCAGAGGUGUAAGUGUGGUAACAUAUUUAGCUGACUGAUACUAAUAGGUCGAGGGCUUGAUC
rnacentral:rRNA from 1 species